rnacentral:tRNA from 1 species
GCCGUGGUGGUUCAGUGGUAGAAUUCUCACCUUCCACGUGGGAGACCCGGGUUCAGUUUCCAGUCAGUGCA